AUAAAAAGUUACAUCAUAAAAUUUGUAGGCAGAUGGGUAGAACUAGAAAAAAAACCAUCCUGAGUGACGUAACCCAGACUCAGAAAGGCAAACGGCAUACACUCAUUUAUAAGUGGGUAUUAGGUAUUAAGUAAAGAAUAAUCCACAGACCCAGAGAGGGUAAGUAACAAGGAAGACUCAAGGAGGAUGCGUGGAUCUUCCUGGGAUGGGGGAAAUCAAAUAGAUUUUGUGGGUGGACUGGGUGCAGGUGAGGAUGAGAACAGGAUCGAAAUUUAAGUUAUAAUAUUAGUUAUUUGAAAUUUUGAAACACCAUUAAUAAAAUUAAGGUCUCAUUCUUUGUCUUAUCUGCCAACAUCCAAGGUAUUGUCUUUCUGGAAACCCACUGGCCAGCUCUGCCAGAGAAUCAGCCUUUCUCCCUCACCGCAUAUCUGUAUCUCAUUUGCCAACACCUGAGGUAGUCCCUCCCUGGAAACCCACUGGACAUACUGGCCAGUGAUCGGGAACUAAAUGGUCAAAGGUGGGGUAGAAACCCCAGAUUGGGACUAAAGAUUUCAACAACAGGAUCCUAGCAUAACUGUUCUCUACGAAGUUCCACCCAACAGCCAAUAAAAGCAGAUGCAGAGACCUACAGCCAAACAUUAGAUGGAGCUCAGGAGUUUUGUGGAAGGAUUGAGGGACCUUAACAGGAUAGCAACUCUACAGGAAGAUCAACAGAGUCAACUAUCCUGGACCCUUCGGUGCUCCCAGUGACUGAACCAUCAACCAAAGAGCAUGGGCUGAACUUAAUGCCCUCUCCCAGCAUAGAUAGCAGAUGUGCAGCUUUGUCUUCAUCCUGGUACUUCAACAACUGAAGCGGAGGUUGUCCCUCAAUCUGAUACACACCUGUGGAUCCAGUUCUCCUAACUGGGUUGCCUUGUCUGAUCUCAGUGGGAGAAGAUGUGCCUAAUUCUGCAGUGACUUGAUUUGCCAGGGUAGGGUGACAACAUGGGGAGAGGGCUGCCCCCCUCCUCAGAGGAGAAGGGGAAGG